ensembl:snRNA U6 U6 spliceosomal RNA
GUGCUCACUUCAGCAGCACAUAUACUAAAAUUGUAACGAUACAGAGAAGAUUAGCAUGGCCCCUGCGCAAGGAUGACAUGCAAAGUUUGCUUCAGUCGCUGCACAUGGAC